AAAGAGGCCUUGAGCCGUCGCUCUGGAUGCCUAUCCACGGGCAAAUUAUCCGCAACAGAUAUCUGAGCAAUCGCGUCUUCCACCGUCCUGGCUUCAAUAAUAGAAUCAUCCCGAUUAGUAUUGGUAACCAGCACCAUCCUCUCGUACUCCUCCUCGGCUGCCGUACGGCUCUGCUUUUUCUUAGCCUCCUCGGCCUUCCUCUGUAGCUCAGCUUGCUCCUCCUCUCUGCGCUUCCUCAAUUCAAGUUCGGUUACCUUGGGGACGGGAAUCGAAACCCUAUUCGCCUUUUUGUCAGGCUUCUUCAUGGCUUUUUCUAAUUCCUUCUCCUCCUGUUCGGCCAAACGGCGUGCCUCCGCCUUGCGAGCAGCGGCCUCAGCACGCUUCUCAGAUUCAUCCUCCCGCUUCUUGGCGGCACGGGACUUGGGACCCUCAGCUUCUCGCCAGAACUGAUCCACCUUCUCCUGACUCUCUCGCUCCUUGCGCUCGGUCUCAACGGCGCUCUUGCGUGCUCUCGCCGCGUCGGCUUUGCUGUUUACGCCCAUCUUCUUCGGCAUGGUUGCUUUUUAGGAUCAAAGGUCGUCUCCGGCGAGGGCGACGAUGAAGAUCGAUCGAAUUGCACGAAAUGGAGGAUUCUUUCUACCAAGUUCUAAGAAUAAU
rnacentral:misc_RNA from 1 species